ensembl:lncRNA novel transcript
GCAGGCUGAUCCAGAUCUCCCUUCUCCUUGCAAAUAUUUUUUGGAUCACAGGUGGGCAGGAUCUUGGCCUUACUUGAUGCAGUGCACACCUCCAACAGGCAUCAGAUGGAGUGCAGCCGGGAGCAAGAUUCUCAUAGCAAUUACAAAGAUUCACAAGAAAAUGUGCCCUCCACUACACAGCUGUAAUUUACAUGCUUUCAAACUUGAUAUGGAAUGACUGUGGUUUCCCCUGAAAGAAGCAUCACUGAUCUCUGCACAGGAGAAACAAGGAUCUUGCUCUGUCACCUAGGCUGGAGUGCAAUGGCACACUCACGGCUCACUGCAGCGUCAAACUCCCAGGCUCAAGUGUUCCUCCUACCUCAGCCUCCUGAGUAGCUAGGACCACAGCACAGGCCCAGACACAAAGCAGAUGUGCAGUGGAGUGUGAAAGAGGCAGCCAACUCACUGGGGAGCUUCAGAGGGAGAUGGCCCAAAUUGCUGGGGCCUAAGAAUCUCCCGGAAUGAAGGAACAGUAGAAAGAACUGGAAGCCAAAUAUGGUGAUAGAGACUCUCAUCAAGGACACUGAGUAAACCAGAAACCUGCUUGGGCUCACGUUCCUUGUCUCUUCUUCUCAGAUCCAGGAAAGGAGCUGUCCAGGACAAUGAGGAUAGGCUGAGGAAAGACAGGCCACGGCCUUGCCUCUGUGCCAGCUCUCAUGGGCCAGGCAGAGUAUCCCAGGACAACUGCCUCCACAACCAGCUCCAUCCUUCAUCAGCAAUUCAGUACCUGAUUAACAAAUCUGUACCCCAGGAGGUUAUGCCAAGUCCAACUUCUUCCAGAGACCACAACAAUAAAUCCAAGCCACUGCUAAUGUCAUUUAUAAGCUGUGGGAUUAAAACAGAGAAGCAAUCAAUUAAUUAAAAUUAGCUCUUUAUUGAAACUAUAA